AUUGAACGCUGGCGGCAGGCCUCACACAUGCAAGUCGCAAGAGUGGCGGACGGGUGAGUAAUUUCUGGGAAACUGCCUGCUGUAGGGGGAUAACUACUGGAAACGGUAGCUCAUACCGCAUACCAUCGGAUGUGCCCAGAUGGGAUUAGCUAGUAGGUGGGGUAAAGGCUCCACUAGGCGACGAUCCCUAGCUGGUCUGCGAGGAUGACCAGACACACUGGAACUGAGACACGGUCCAGACUCCUACGGGAGGAAGCAGUGGGGAAUAUUGCACAAUGGGCGCAAGCCUGAUGUAGCCAUGCCGCGUGUAUGAAGAAGGCCUUCGGGUUGUAAAGUACUUUCAGCGGGGAGGCGUUACCCGCAGAAGAAGCACCGGCUAACUCCGUGCCAGCAGCCGCGGUAAUUC
rnacentral:rRNA from 1 species